rnacentral:rRNA from 1 species
GACGAACGCUGGCGGCGUGCUUAACACAUGCAAGUCGAACGGUAAGGCCCUUCGGGGUACACGAGUGGCGAACGGGUGAGUAACACGUGGGUGAUCUGCCCUGCACUUUGGGAUAAGCCUGGGAAACUGGGUCUAAUACCGGAUAGGACCACGGCCUGCAUGGGUUGUGGUGGAAAGCUUUUGCGGUGUGGGAUGGGCCCGCGGCCUAUCAGCUUGUUGGUGGGGUGAUGGCCUACCAAGGCGACGACGGGUAGCCGGCCUGAGAGGGUGUCCGGCCACACUGGGACUGAGAUACGGCCCAGACUCCUACGGGAGGCAGCAGUGGGGAAUAUUGCACAAUGGGCGCAAGCCUGAUGCAGCGACGCCGCGUGGGGAUGACGGCCUUCGGGUUGUAAACCUCUUUCACCAGGGACGAAGCGCAAGUGACGGUACCUGGAGAAGAAGCACCGGCCAACUACGUGCCAGCCGCUGCCGUAA